CAAUUUUUACAAUGAAGAGUUUGAUCCUGGCUCAGGAUGAACGCUAGCGGGAGGCUUAACACAUGCAAGUCGAGGGGCAGCAUAAUGUAGCAAUACGUUGAUGGCGACCGGCGCACGGGUGAGUAACGCGUAUGCAACCUACCCUGUACAGGGGGAUAACCCGGAGAAAUUCGGACUAAUACCCCAUAAUAUUAAUCAGAGGCAUCUUUGGAUAAUUAAAGUUUCGGUGGUACAGGAUGGGCAUGCGUAACAUUAGCUAGUUGGCAGGGUAACGGCCUA
rnacentral:rRNA from 1 species